CAUUGGAUUACAAUAGGGUACAAUAAAAUAGUAAAAAUACAAAACCAAUAUUAACUUCUUAAGGACGGCGGACACUCAAUGCCAUCCUUAACUCCUUAAGGACUGAGGCAGUUGUACAAGUUGAGAUCAAAUCAAAAGACAAACAAAACCUUGAAUUUGCGCUAUAUGUCUGUUCAGGUGUAAUUCACCUUUUUCAUAUUAUGUGCACCCACAUUUAUCAUUUAUCAGUUUGUUCAGGAGAAACAGGGCUUUCA